rnacentral:snRNA from 1 species
AUGCUCCCUUUGGCAGCACAAGUACUAAACUUGAAAAGACACAGAAAUGAUUAGCAUAGCCCCUAAGCAAAGAUGACUUGCAAAUUUGUGAGGCCUUCCAUUUUUUU